rnacentral:rRNA from 1 species
GCGGGCGUAGCAAUACGUCAGCGGCAGACGGGUGAGUAACGCGUGGGAACGUACCUUUUGGUUCGGAACAACACAGGGAAACUUGUGCUAAUACCGGAUAAGCCCUUACGGGGAAAGAUUUAUCGCCGAAAGAUCGGCCCGCGUCUGAUUAGCUAGUUGGUAGGGUAACGGCCUACCAAGGCGACGAUCAGUAGCUGGUCUGAGAGGAUGAUCAGCCACAUUGGGACUGAGACACGGCCCAAACUCCUACGGGAGGCAGCAGUGGGGAAUAUUGGACAAUGGGGGCAACCCUGAUCCAGCCAUGCCGCGUGAGUGAUGAAGGCCCUAGGGUUGUAAAGCUCUUUUGUGCGGGAAGAUAAUGACGGUACCGCAAGAAUAAGCCCCGGCUAACUUCGUGCCAGCAGCCGCGGUAAUACGAAGGGGGCUAGCGUUGCUCGGAAUCACUGGGCGUAAAGGGUGCGUAGGCGGGUCUUUAAGUCAGGGGUGAAAUCCUGGAGCUCAACUCCAGAACUGCCUUUGAUACUGAAGAUCUUGAGUUCGGGAGAGGUGAGUGGAACUGCGAGUGUAGAGGUGAAAUUCGUAGAUAUUCGCAAGAACACCAGUGGCGAAAGGC